CUUUUUCCGCCACUGCACUUCACCACUUUAGAUGGUGAUAUUUGCAAAAUAUCGUUUUUAGGAGGUUGAAUUGGUGAAGAUAUAACCUCACCAUUCUUAGAAUGUAGUGUCUACAUUCUACUACUAGACUUUGUUGUAUGUAUGCAGCUGGCAACCAAACCGUAGCUGUUGUAUCUGUUCCUUGAAUCUUUUGCAUUUGCUACUCGUUAACGUAACCAAACCAAACAUGUGCUCUGUGUGGCCUGGCAUGGCUAUCAAGAUGCAGCCAGCACUGCAUCCAUGGACGCGACGCGAGCUAGGCAGGAUCCAAUACUUAGAUCUUGCAGCUCCAGGCUCCAGCUCACAGAGACUGGCAGUGGGCAGUGGGACCACCGCGUGCCGUUGCCGGAGGAAGGAACACCAAGCCAAAGGCGAUGGGCCUGCACUGUUUGUCGUCCUUCCUACAACUGAUGAGAGUCACCAACCAAACCAAGGAGAAGGAGAUGCCGAGCGAGCGUGGGACUGGAAUUCGUGCUUGCCAAGCAAGCAACAGGCCUGGGCUGGCCAGAGCGUGCUUGAGUUGAGCUCCACGAUCUGGGCCUGCAUCUCCACGACCGUCUCCUGAGCUGCUGCCUCACUCAGCUUCGCGGGAGAGCCCGGGCAGUUCGAGUGCUGCUGGAACGCUGCUGCUCCGUGAGGAAGGGUCUUCUUCGAGCCGGUCGGGCACUCGGGCGACGGUGACCACAUGAUACCACUGUUCUCUUUGCUCGGUUCUGGUGAUGGUGGUAUCUUCACGAGAAGAUUAGAUGAUGCUUCAGUUGAUUUAGGUAUGGGACUCGAAGGUGCUUGCUUCAUCUCCACUCCACCAUCUGCAUGCCGAAGCCAUCCCUUCACCCCAGUGGCGAAUCUGCACUUCUGCAGUGACUCUACUUCAAGUUGAUUUAGAUAUAGGACUUGAAGGUUCUGAUGAGCAGGGGUAUAGGCAACAGAAAAUCACCUGACAAUGGCAGCUAGUUUGUUUGGUCACUAAAACUGUAGAGGUUGGAGUGCAGCUCACAUACCCCAGGCCUCCUUUUGGCUGCAAUUUCGCGCAGUCAGCACUCCACAGCGAAGCAGUUUAAGGAACAUGGAAAGAUGAUACGGCAACGACUGCUAUGCAAGCAGUCCUUCUAUGCAAGCGUGCAAUCAAAUCAUCUGAUCCAUUAGAUUAUGAUCCAACCACAGACACAACUAUAGUUUGUUAGAGGUUUUUUUAUAAAGAUUAUUAAGCUGAUGGUGAAAGGGUUAAAUAUGACCAACGGUUCGAUUACGAUCUAAUGAAUCAGAUUAUUUGUUUGCACACCUGUACAGAACGACUGCUUGCAUAGCAGUCGUUGCCAGAUGAUACGGGUUACACUCCAAAUGGAUAAAUAAACCCAGACCUUUGGCACAAGGGUCUUGCUGCUUGGUCACAAACAGCUGCUUCAAUGUGCACCGAGUCUGACUGAAAGCGUGCUAAGCAAGAUGCCGGUCAGGCAGGCUCCAGUCGCCCGGAAGACGCCGCCUCCACCUGCGCGCCUCCCUGGUCCCUCCCCACGGCCGGAAGGUUCCCCUUUCCCGCGGCCGCUCGCCUCCCGCCGCGUCGACCGUACGCUUCGGAGGCUACGGACCUGCCGCAACGUCCGCAGUGGCCACUGGCCGCGCCGCCGCCUGGCGUGAAGUGUGCGAGGCGAGCGGAGUGAGGGUCGCGGGAUUCGGAUUUCAGAUCGGUCACGUGAGACGUGAGACGUGAGAGCGGAGUGAAGGCUGCCCGUUGCAGCCUGUAGAACUAGCCCUAAAAAGACUAGUUUGGGAUUUCAGUUUACAU